CUGAUAAUCAGAUAACUACUGAUACCAAGAAAUUUAACACUACAACUGUUAUUGAGGAACUCAGUAAAGAAGAUCAUCGGAAAGUCGAAAUUCAUGACAGUGAUCAGCCAGCUAGUCCAGCUAUGAUUGGAGGAAUCAUUUCAACAGCUGUAGUUCUGAUAAUAUUGAUAAUAGUCAUUGCAUUAUUCUUCAGGCAUCGUCGCAAUCGUCGGUCUUCCAUAAAAAUUAAUAGAUCCGAUAUGGAAUUGAAAGAAAAGGAACUCUGCAAAAUGCUUCAACCACCAGAUGAAAUGAAUGAUGACAAACACAAACCAGAACUUCAUAGUUAAUGAAGUCUACUUGUUGUCCUAAUACUUCCUUUACAACAUUGGAAUACGUACCACCUACUAAACACAGCAUAUGUAAAUUUUGUGCUCAAAAAGGUACUUCUUAACUCUGUGCAGUCAGUUUUUUACCCUAAAUUGUCCUUGAAAAAAUGAAUCUCUAGGAAAACCAUUCACACAAACUAUUAUGUAUAUAGAAAAUAGGGCAUUUUUUAAUCUGGAAAUAGUUUAUGGUAGGUAAGAAAUCAUUAAUUAAUUGUUUGUAUAAAGCCCAUCCACAACCAAAAUUAUAUAGUGCUUAGAUUGUUGUCAUGCCUAUUUUUCUGUCAAUGUAAUAAUUUAUAAAGUUUAUGACCUAUCGUUGCAUUUAUGAGGACAAGAACAUUAUAACACAGCUUGAUCAAUACUCCAGGUAAAGUCUAUUGAUACAGAACAUCAGUUCUAAUGAUAUUGAAACCCCUAGAUAUCCAAUUUAAAUUUGCGGGUUUUAAUGAAUUUGGCUACAUGAGCCCUCAUUAUUUCAUCGUUGCUAGUGCUGAUGAUAUCGGCUCUCGAGCAGGUGUUCGAUUCUCCACUGUACUUCUAACUUUUCUCUAUCAACCUUCGUAAACACACUAAUGUAAUAUUUACACCGAUUUAAGAAAUUCAGCUCCACCCGGGCUCUCAUCCCAUCCGCCAAUCCUUCGUCUCCUCACAAAAACUAAGCAUACCACAGUGUUCUAAUUAAUAUUUAUAAUUAUUAAUAAUC